rnacentral:rRNA from 1 species
UACGGAGGAUGCGAGCGUUAUCCGGAUUUAUUGGGUUUAAAGGGUGCGUAGGCGGAUUUUUAAGUCAGCGGUAAAAUGUCCGGGCUCAACCCGGGCCGGCCGUUGAAACUGGUGGUCUUGAGUGGAUGAGAAGUACGCGGAAUGCGUGGUGUAGCGGUGAAAUGCAUAGAUAUCACGCAGAACUCCGAUUGCGAAGGCAGCGUACCGGCAUCCAACUGACGCUGAGGCACGAAAGCGUGGGGAUCAAACAGG